rnacentral:rRNA from 1 species
UACGGAGGGUGCGAGCGUUGUUCGGAAUCACUGGGCGUAAAGCGCGUGUAGGCGGCCUCUUCAGUCUGAUGUGAAAGCCCGGGGCUCACCCCCGGAAGUGCAUUGGAUACUGGGGGGCUGGAGUACCGGAGAGGAGGGUGGAAUUCCUGGUGUAGCGGUGAAAUGCGUAGAUAUCAGGAGGAACACCGGUGGCGAAGGCGGCCCUCUGGACGGAUACUGACGCUGAGACGCGACAGCGUGGGGAGCAAACAGG